rnacentral:rRNA from 1 species
AUGCACACAGUUUUUUUAUUUCCAGUUGCCUACGGUGUGCUGGAGACAGAGUCUGAGGAGAGCUGGACUUGGUUUUUGCAUAAUCUUCGCCGGGCUAUUGCACAUCCCAAUGGGUUGGUCAUUCAUACAGAUGCCUGCAAAGGUUUAGAAGUGGCCGUGGACAAUGUGUUCCCUGGAGUAGAGCAUAGGGAAUGCAUGCGUCACCUUGCUGCAAAUUUCAUGAAGAAAUUCAAAGGAAAGGUGUAUACCGAUAAUUUAUGGCCAGCAUCUUUGACUUGCAGUGUGAAGAAGCACAACUACCACUUGAGGCAGUUAUACAUGAAUCCCAAAGUGAAAGAAUACUUGGAAACACACCACUCCAAGUUAUGGGCCAGAAGCCAAUUCAGUGAGCUGAGCAAAGUUGACUAUGUGCACAACAAUGUUGCAGAGUCUUUCAACUCAACGAUCCGGAAACUAAAGGGUCAUUAUGUGGUGGAUUUGCUUGACAGGAUAAGGAUAGAAUACAUGCAGAAAUUUCAUUAUCGUGCAGGAAUAGCCGAGGCAAAAUUCAUGGGCCACAUUAUCAUCCUUGCCGUGAUGAAUGAACUGAAGCAGAAAACAACAGGCUUGGAAAUGAACAUGCCUCUUUGCUCGGGUACCACAGCAGAGAUAUCAUAUUUGGAUAAAGAGAAGAGGGAAUGGAGAUAUCCGGUGGAUUUAGAAGCUAGAACUUGCAAUUGUAGGCAAUGGCAGAUAACUGGGUUGCCAUGCAUUCAUGCCUUGUUUUUCAUCACUUCUCUCCCAGGUCCAGCAGGGAACAUACAACAGUAUGUGCAUGAUUACUACUCUGUUGCAAGGUUCAAAGCCACAUAUGCUUAUGCCUUGCCUGCUAUGGAGGGAAAACAACAAUGGGACAUGGUGGACCCUGGAUUCAAGCUUUGCGCUCCAGUUCUGAAGAGAGCAGCAGGUAGACCAAGGAAGAGUCGAAUCAGACCUCGCAGCGAAGGAGCUGGACUUGGAGCAAGGAAGCGUAAGUGCACAAGGUGUGGUGGGUCUGGUCAUUUCGGUAAGUAUUGUGAUAACACAGUAGAUCCAGCGUUCGGAGAGAGUUUCGAUGAAGGCUUCGAUGAAAAUGUUGGUCAGCAGCCGGUUGCCUCAACAGAUGAUGAAAAUGAUGGUCAACAGCCGGUUGCAUCAGAUGAGGAUUUUGAUGAGGUUCCAAAUGAUGAUGGUCAACAGCCGCAUGAUUUUGACGAUGAUCCAAAAUAUCCUCCAAAUAAUGAUUCAAGUGAGGCUCCAAAUGGUGAUCCAAGUGAGGCUCCAAAUGGUGAUCAUGGUGAUCCAAGUGAGGAUCCAAAUGAUGAUCCAAGUGAGGCUCCAAAUGGUGACCAACCUUCUGUUGUUGUGAGUUCUGCUAGCUCUAUGAAAGGUUUGAAGAAGACGCGUAAGGUACCGACAACCAAGAGGAGAAGAGAAGAAGCAAUGAGCACAAGGUGCACGAGGAGCAAAGUGAUGGCAAGAAGCUUAAGGAACAGACAGAAGCCCCAACGCUAUUUAUGA